GGCCUUCUGGUGCUUGCCACAGGCUGUGUUCUUGCACUGCCUGUGCAGAGGGAGGAGGCAGAGUGGACCCACCCCAUAUACACCUCAGACGGGCCCUUUGCCUGGUCUGUGUUAUGAAUGGGGGGACAUGG